rnacentral:rRNA from 1 species
GGCGUUUUGCGGGGCAUGCUGGCGGGAGGUGCCACGGUACUCCGUAGGAUGGGGUAAAAUCUUUUGAUCUAUGGAUGACCACCUGUGGCGAAGGCGGUCUACCAGAACACGUUCGACGGUGAGGGAUGAAAGCUGGGGGAGCAAACCGGAUUAGAUACCCGGGUAGUCCCAGCUGUAAACUAUGCAAACUCAGUGAUGCAUUGGCUUGUGGCCAGUGCAGUGCCGCAGAGAAGUCGUUAAGUUUGCCGCCUGGGAAGUACGUACGCAAGUAUGAAACUUAAAGGAAUUGGCGGGGGAGCACCACAAGGGGUGAAGCCUGCGGUUCAAUUGGAGUCAACGCCAGAAAUCUUACCCGGAGAGACAGCAGGAUGAAGGUCAAGCUGAAGACUUUACCAGACAAGCUGAGAAGUGGUGCAUGGCCGUCGCCAGCUCGUGCCGUGA